UAGGGAAUCUUCCGCAAUGGGGCGAAAGCCUGACGGAGCAACGCCGCGUGAGUGAUGAAGGGUUUCGGCUCGUAAAACUCUGUUAUUAGGGAAGAACAAACGUGUAAGUAACUGUGCACGUCUUGACGGUACCUAAUCAGAAAGCCACGGCUAACUACGUGCCAGCAGCCGCGGUAAUACGUAGGUGGCAAGCGUUAUCCGGAAUUAUUGGGCGUAAAGCGCGCGUAGGCGGUUUCUUAAGUCUGAUGUGAAAGCCCACGGCUCAACCGUGGAGGGUCAUUGGAAACUGGGAAACUUGAGUGCAGAAGAGGAAAGUGGAAUUCCAUGUGUAGCGGUGAAAUGCGCAGAGAUAUGGAGGAACACCAGUGGCGAAGGCGACUUUC
rnacentral:rRNA from 1 species